AGACUGCUCUCAAACUCCUGGCCUCAAGUCCUGCCUUGACCUCCCAAAGUGCUGGGAUUAUAGACAUGAGGCACCACCCCCAGCCUGGAAACUUGACUCUUAUAUGUGGAUUCAGUUCACAGUAUUUAGCACAUCUGUGAGUCUUGUGACUCCAGUAAGGGUACAUAGUCUGAAGGAAAACCUCAGACUCUCAUAAACAAGUUGAGUGCACCAUUGAGAUUGUGACUCUUGUAAUUAGAUCCAACAUACAGGAGGUGUUGACUCUCAGAUUUAGAACUGGGACAUGUGUGAGAUUGUUAAUCUAAUCUCUAAACCAUCCUGCAGGUGUGAUUGUAGCAUAUGUCUCUGCUCAGUACUUGAGUGAUUUGACUCUCAAGUCUGGGCCCAGUCCAUAGGUGCAAUUGUGACAUAUCACUGAACCCAGCACAUGUGACUCCAUACUCCUGCCUUGGUGCUGCCCACAGGGGAGAUGGUGGAAUAUCCCUGGGCCUUGCAUCCAAGUGAUGUAAGUCACCAUUUCUUUAAUGUCUCUGCCUAUAGGGGACACUGGGGUGUCCCUGGGCUCAAAACUCAGCUUAUGUGAUUCUCCUAUUUUUUCCCUGCCCACCUGGGCCAUUGUGACAUACUGCUUAGUGUAACACCCAUGUAAUGUAACUCUUCAGCCUUGGCCUUGCCUACACGAGCAUUGUGAUGUGUCUCUGCACUCAUCACCCAGCUAAUAUGACUCCUGUCUGGUUUCUGUUCAGAUGGGAUAUUUUUGCCUAUUGCUGGGUACAGCACCUAGCUGAUGGGACUCUUCCCAUCUUUCUAAGGCCCACCCACAUGAAGAUGUGACAUUUCACUUUGCGCUACACUAAGGUGACAUUAAUGUUGCCUUUGCCCUACUUUCAGAAGACAUUGUGACAUAUUGCUGGGCCCAGCACCCAGGUGAUGGGAGUCUCCUGCCUGAGCCUUGCUCACAGAGGGCAUUGUGACAUAUUUCUGACUUCAUCAACUCUUUGAUGGGACUCUCCCAUCUUACCUGGGCUUUGCCCAUAAGAAGAAAUGUGACAUAGUUCUGGCACCAAAACCUAGGUGAUGUGACUCUCUUCUGACAGGGUCAUACCCACAGAAGAAAGAUGGCUUAUUGCCAAACCCAGCACACAGAAGAAAACUCCAAAUGGCGCUGCAAACAGAACCACCUGUGGACAUGUCAUUCUUCCGAGAACACUUAAAUAAACCUCAGGAGGAGUCUCAGCUGCUGUUCCCCCACACGACACCCCUUUUCAGCAGGAAGUAGCCAGAAAGAUUCGUUGUCCAACACCCCCAAUAGCAGUUAGAAUACCAUCUUCUGAGGGGUGAAUAAUAUAGGAGUUAAAAAAAAUUAUUUUAGGCAGUUAACAAGGGUACAAGAGUUCUCGGUGGAAUUUUCCUUCAAUGAAAAGCAACCAAAAAACCAUUUCUUUUCUAAAAGAAAGCAGCCUGAAAAGUCAAACUGCAAGCAUAGAUAAGCAAGCUGGAAGUUUGCAUAUGUAAAUGCGGGCAGCUGUACUAAAAGCCAAGUACACUCAAAAUGGUGAUUCCCUCUCCCUUUACUUUGUCACCGUGUGUGGGUGUCAUGGUACCGGCCAGGUAGAGGCCACAUUUGCAUAAUAAGAUUAGUGUGGGAGGGCCCGUUUCCUCGUGUGCUAAGUAAAUGCCACACCUGGUCAAACCAAUUUCCUGGGCCAUAUAUAAAUCAAUCACCACCUCCUCAAGCCUCUCUAUAAAAUUGAUCACAUUCUGCUCCAAACCUGGAAACCUGCUAUGGUGACCCACUUUCUCGACAGGAGGAAGCUCUCUCCCUCUCUCCUGUCUUUUGUGUAUUAAACUUUCUGCUCCUUAAACUCA